rnacentral:rRNA from 1 species
GUGGGGAAUCUUGCGCAAUGGGCGAAAGCCUGACGCAGCCAUGCCGCGUGAAUGAUGAAGGUCUUAGGAUUGUAAAAUUCUUUCACCGGGGACGAUAAUGACGGUACCCGGAGAAGAAGCUCCGGCUAACUUCGUGCCAGCAGCCGCGGUAAUACGAAGGGGGCUAGCGUUGCUCGGAAUUACUGGGCGUAAAGGGCGCGUAGGCGGACAGCUUAGUCAGAGGUGAAAGCCCAGGGCUCAACCUUGGAAUUGCCUUUGAUACUGGCUGUCUUGAGUUUGGGAGAGGUGAGUGGAACUCCGAGUGUAGAGGUGAAAUUCGUAGAUAUUCGGAAGAACACCAGUGGCGAAGGCGACUCACUGGCCCAAUACUGACGCUGAGGCGCGAAAGCGUGGGGAGCAAACAGGAUUAGAAACCCGGGUAGUCA